rnacentral:rRNA from 1 species
AGAGUUUGAUCCUGGCUCAGAUUGAACGCUGGCGGCAUGCCUUACACAUGCAAGUCGAACGGCAGCGCGUCCUUCGGGAUGGCGGCGAGUGGCGAACGGGUGAGUAAUACAUCGGAACGUGCCCGAGAGUGGGGGAUAACGCAGCGAAAGCUGUGCUAAUACCGCAUACGAUCUCAGGAUGAAAGCAGGGGACCGCAAGGCCUUGCGCUCACGGAGCGGCCGAUGGCAGAUUAGGUAGUUGGUGGGAUAAAAGCUUACCAAGCCGACGAUCUGUAGCUGGUCUGAGAGGACGACCAGCCACACUGGGACUGAGACACGGCCCAGACUCCUACGGGAGGCAGCAGUGGGGAAUUUUGGACAAUGGGGGGAACCCUGAUCCAGCCAUGCCGCGUGCAGGAUGAAGGCCUUCGGGUUGUAAACUGCUUUUGUACGGAACGAAAAGGUCUUUUCUAAUAAAGAAGGCUGAUGACGGUACCGUAAGAAUAAGCACCGGCUAACUACGUG